rnacentral:tRNA from 1 species
GGCGGAUGUAGCCAAGUGGAUCAAGGCAGUGGAUUGUGAAUCCACCAUGCGCGGGUUCAAUUCCCG